rnacentral:rRNA from 1 species
AUACGGAGGGGGUUAGCGUUGUUCGGAAUUACUGGGCGUAAAGCGUACGUAGGCGGAUCAGAAAGUAAGGGGUGAAAUCCCAGGGCUCAACCCUGGAACUGCCUCUUAAACUCCUGGUCUCGAGUUCGAGAGAGGUGAGUGGAAUUCCAAGUGUAGAGGUGAAAUUCGUAGAUAUUUGGAGGAACACCAGUGGCGAAGGCGGCUCACUGGCUCGAUACUGACGCUGAGGUACGAAAGUGUGGGGAGCAAACAGGAUUAGAAACCCUAGUAGUCC